GCAGACGGAAGCCGGGCGGAAACAGCUCCGUGGAAUACGGGUUCGCAGGUUCAAAUCCUGCCGUCUGCCG
rnacentral:tRNA from 1 species